CUCCACCAAGUGUGGAAAAGCUCGAAAUACAUCCAAACACUCGAACCUCGCAAUUUGCAAAGGUCCAGUGCGUUACAUUCACCCCUCCUAAAAGGGAGUUUCGUCCGCGAAACUCGAAAUGACAAAUACCUCAAGCCUCCAUCUGAAAAAGAUGGGGAUAGCGCUCCCUCAGUGCGCUCUCCAGCUCCCAAGUGGCCUCGUGCUCGUCGUGGUUGCUCCAAAGCACCUUCACGUAAGGAAUUUCUCGGUUCCGCAAUCUUUUCACCUCGCGAGCCACAAUCCUCAAGGGUUGCUCUUCAAAGCUCAAAUCAUCCCUCAGCUCCAAAGGCGUAGCGUCCAAAACAUGAGCCGGGUCGUGGAUGUACUUCUUUAGGACCGAUACAUGAAACACAUUGUGUAUACCCGAUAGGUUUGGCGGUAGAGCGAGUCGAUACGCUACCGGGCCUACACGCUCCAAAACCUCAAACAGUCCAAUAUAUCGGGGGCUCAACUUGCCCCGGAUUCCAAAUCGUCUAAUUCCUCGAGUCGGC
rnacentral:lncRNA from 1 species